CCGGCCCCCGGCCCCCGCUGCGGCUGCGCUUGCCUCAGAGCUCAGCCACUCCAGCAGGUUGCGCUCCGCGCUGGGAUCUGGUUUUCCUUCGCCCGUGGAGCUGCAGGCGCAGCAGCCACUACCACCCGGAGCACCGGAGCUGGAGUCCUAUGACCGGCGGUCAAAAGGGAGGAGCUGGAGGCGCAAGCUGCCCCCUUCGGCUUCACGCGCUGCAACAACCCAGCCGAACCCGCCUCGUCACUGUCGCGGUCUCCGACUCGGCGCCGCGGUGGGGGCUGCCGAAGUUGCCACAGUUCCUCCUGGCGGAGAUGAAGAACUGCGGAGCCCUCGCGGAAGAAGAAUAUGAACAAGCAAGUAAAUUUCAGCUCCUGACAGCUGAGAUAGAAGGAAGGAAAUUAACAAAGAAGUGUGCUGACCACUCCAGAAGUUGAACUGAAAGAUUAAGAGGAAGAGGAAGACACCCUGUGAAGACAGAGACAGAGAGAGAAAACAUCAUAUGACAACUAAGGCAGCCAUUGAAGUGCUGCAGCUGCAAACCAAGGAAUGCUUAGGCUACCAAAAGCUGGGAAGAAGUAAGGAAAGAUCUUCCCUUAGAAGCUUUGGUGGAAGUAUGGCCCUGCGAACACUUCGAUUUCAGACUUCUAACCUCCGGAACUGUGAGAGACUAAAUUUCUGUUAUUUUGUUUUCCAGUUUUCAUGGCAGCUCUAGGAAACUAACACAAGUGCCGGUUUGCUGGCAGGGCCUAGGAAAGCACAAAGAUUCCCAAGGUUCCUUCACAAACAUGGCAGCCCCGAUGCUCUUGAAACUGUGUGAGCCCGACCUGGGUGGGUGUUUUCAUUUCCUGAAAUGCACAUACAGUCAUAAAGAGGGAUUCGAUGAAUAUAUUCAUACACGUAUUUCUGUUUUUAUCUGAAUAUAUGAAAAAUGUAUUCUCUACUCCAAUUACUUCAAUCAACUUCAAUGACUCCCAAAUUAGAGAGACACAUAUUUUGCUAAGUUAACUGCUGUCCUUCUGUCUUGCAGCUUCAGACACUUUUUAGAACAAAGCUAGGUAUAAAUCAGUAGCAAGACAGAAAAAUCUUUACAGAUAUAGGUAAAGGCAUCUCAUAAUUCUUUGGCUGAAACUCUCCUAAUACAUAGCAUCAAUAAUCUUGGAUGAGCUUUGAGUUUCUAUAAGAACCAAGGUGUGCUCAUAUUUAGGUUUUGUUAAGUGUCAUGUAAGCACACAUGUUGUCUUUUCCUAUAGAACAUGGAAAAGCAGACAUAUUAUCCUCAAAGAGGCCUUAGAAGCUGGCCUCACUCCCACCCUGACCAGAAUGAUAAUGGCUCCAUUUACUAAGUAUUAACUGUGUGGGGUUUCUGCUCUAAGUGCUUCCGUGGAUUUAUUCCUCAGAAUAACCCAAUUAGGUAGGUGGGGGUUUUACACUAUUUCACAGAUAUGGAAACAGAACCAUUUGCCAAAUGAGUGCCUGAACCAAGCACCAACCUCAGGCAGUAUGACUGCACAAUCUGUGCACUUAACUGUUAAGCUCUACUGCUUCUACUGAGAUGAAGCCUGUGAAUCCAGUCUCCUUGUUGAAGUCUAUGGUACCCCAGUAAAGAACACCCCUGUUCCCUGUAAGAGUUCUACCAACUGAAAAAUGAGUGAGCAGGAGGCCAAAUAUCACUUUUAUGAAAUAGAGACCAUGUUGGAAGAGCAUAGUCUAAUGCGAAAGCCAAAAGGGACUGGCCAUCUGCCCUCCCUCCAGGCUGGACCUUGGCACAGCCAUCUGUUCCCAAGGAUCUUGAUGAAGAGAGAAAGUGAAAGAAAACUGAGAAAUAAGGGCCAAUGGCUGUCUCCCUCUUCUAUAAGUAGUGGCGAGAGUCAGGAGUGUGGUAAAGGGCCAGGAGCGUUUAAGGAAAAACCUCACCAUGAAAACCAAAAGAGUGGGGAAGAGAUGAUCCCCUUGGUCAACGUUCGAACCUUCCUCCAUGAAAGGACUCACCCAGUCUUCUUUUUUAGGCCUUAAAUGAUCCCUUACUCCUAGUAAAAGUCCCACAUGCUCAAUACUGUUAUCACUUUGCAGGAAAAUUAGGAGGAAGGCAUCCUUUUAUACUUACUCACACUGAGUUAGGAAAGAUGGAGCAUUUCUCAUUAAAGUACAGCUUCCAUGAGGAGGCCUGUUGACCAAAAGCAAUGAAUAUCUACUGGAGGAAUUUCAGGCCACAGGAUGGCAUAGUGGGAGAGAGGUUUUUGAAUAGGGAGAGCCUGCUCUCUCUACUUUAGGCAACAACCUAUCAUGUCAAUUCAUGAGAUUGGCUCUGCCCACACAAAACAGAAAUGGUCACUUCUCUAGACUCCUUUCUGGAGUCACAGGCCACAGAAAUUUUCAUCACCAACAAAGUAACAUUAAACCCUCCCAUAUUUUUUAGUGGUUCCCUGGAUCUCCUCCUACUAGUCAUCCCAGUUCAUUUUAUUACCUGUAUCAGUGAGGAUUCUAUCUGACUUCAUAUAACAGGAAAACUCCCCCAAAAUAACAAUUUAAAUAAGAGAUAUUUAAUACUCUCUUGGGUAUAAGAACUAAUUCUAGAGUUGGGUAGUCCAGAUUUAAUUUGGUAGCUCUAUGAAAUCCUCAGGGAUCCAGGUUCCUUCCCGACCUCUGCUCCACCAUCACUAGAAUGUAGUUCUUGUCUUCAUGGUUCAGUAUGGCUGCUGGUACCCCAGCCAUUAUAUCCCCAUUCCAGACAGCAAACAUGGAAGAGAAUGAAGAGAAGAGCAUGCCCAGGAGCCCUAUGUAUCACUUCCACUUACAUUUGGGCAGAACUUAGUCACAUGGCCACUCCCUAUGUAUGUUAGCUAUUGCUGCAUAACUAACAACAACAAAAUUUCGGAGGCAUAUAACACUAAGCAUUUAUUUUCACAUAUCCGCUGGUUGGCUAGGAUUCAGCCAAUCCAGACCUGGCUAUGGUGGCUAGGCUGAUUCCACUUCUCACAGCAGAUCUGUGUGCUAGUGAUUAUGUGUCCCACAUAUCUUUCAUCUUCCUUGGACCAGUAGGCUAACCAGGAUGAGUUCUUCUCAUGGCACAAAGAGGCACAAAUGAGCAAGUGGAACUAGACCAGGUCUCUAUGAUGUAGACUCAAAAGUGGCACACUGGUGCUUCUACUCACAUGCUAUUAAAGGGCAAGAAAUACAGUCCACCCACAAUGAGGACGUAGCCUGGGUAUGAUUCGGGGUGUCGUCAAUCUACCACACUCAGCUGCAAGGGACCUGGGAAAUGUCACAUUGCGGCUAGGUGACAAGUCCAGUCAAAGUCAGAGAUGUUACUAAGGCAGGAAGAGAAAUUCAGUCUCUACCACACUCCCUCACAUUGUACCAACUUUGCAAAAUACCGAUACUAGCCUAGAGCAAGUUCAUUGUAAUUCUUACCCUCACCUCGAAACUCAUGGUGUGUAGAACUAUGAAGCACUCUCAAGAAGACAAGAGAGGGGUUGCACAUCGAGAACAUCAUAGGCCAGCACUUCGUAGUGCUCUUCACUUUUGAGCAGGUGGGGAAGAGUAAUUUUUUUUUUUUUUUGUAAUAUGGUCUAUCUCAAAGCCCUCAGCCAAGAAAGAUCAAAUCACGCAACCUUAAAGGUAGAGCUCAAAGGUUUCCCUGUGUAUGUCUCCCCUACACCAGCAUAGGAUGGAGAUGGCAGGCAGUCUGGAGGCAGAUGGCACAAAUGAACAUCCUUCAGCAAUAAGUGCAGAAUUCCUUAGCCUCUGCUUUCUGAGUAAAGGCAGUAGGAACCAAGUAAUGGCAUAAAAAUAUCCAGGCUGAGACCCCUGAGCCUAACCCAAGGCCCUACCUGCCCCAGCACCUCCUCUGGACUCUGAGACUUUGCCAAGAUCCAGAAACUAACAUGGCAGCCCCUAGCAGAGCAAGAGUCUCCAGGAUCAUGCUCCAAUAUCACUGCCAUGUCCUUUCAUAUUGGGUGGUGUCAUCUCCGUGCUGAUUGCUUAAAUUUUAAAUACAACCCCUGGUAGCCCCAGUCACAGGAGUCAAAAAAGAGAUUACCUGCCAAAGGACCCCUGUAUUUCCAGAUUUAUAACCUGGUGUCUUGGAGUUCACUUCCAACAUUUUGAAAAGGCUGGUUUCUUGCAAAAUCAAACCAUUGUUCUUGCUUCAAGUCUCUUUCCACUCAAAUUCAUCCUUGAUGCUGAGACCAGGUCAAUAUUUCAAAAGCACAGAUCUGGCUCUAACAGCAAAUAUCCAAUAUUUAUCUGCAAUGUUAAAUUUUCAUAUACAGAUUUUAAUUUAAUCCUCACAGUAACUGUGUGAGAGGGGUAUAAUUGUUCCAGUUUUACAAGCAAGAAAAUUGAGAGUGUGUUAA